CUCCGCGCCGCCCAAUCGCGGCCCGCCCUUUCACUCCGGCCCCGCUGAACCCGCUCCGGGAGAGCCGACCCGCAAGGAGUCGCGGUUUCCGGGUCCCGCCCCGUUCUCCCUCUCAGCCCCGCUCCCGGAGGGCGCCCGGCCCGGGCAGUCCCGGCGGCAGCUGAGGCCCUUCCCGGCUUUAGGGGCUUGAACGGGAACCGGGGCCGGCCUCGCUGCGGAGCCCCUGCCCGCUCUCCCCGGCACACCGACAGCGGCUGCCGGGGCUACUGCAGCGGGGCCGCGACCCCUCGAGUCUCCCGGCAGCGGCCCCCGCGGCUGCGCGGGGCACAAGCUGGGCUCCGGGUCCCGGCAGCCAUGCCCUUGUCUCCCUCCCGGGCACGGAGCCGGGGCCCGGCGGGGCGGCGAAGCGCGCCGAGGGACCGGGAGCGGCAGCACCGAGCCCAGCUCCCGCCUGGCCCAGCUCCGCUCAGGGACGCUCCGGCUCGGCACCAGCUCGGCUCCAGCCCCGCGCUCGGCGCUUCGGCCCCGGCUCCGGCCCGGAGGCGUCUGCGCUCCCGGUGCUGGGCGCUGCGGGGAAGAGAUGAUGCUGCUGCUGCUGCUGCUGCUGCUGCUGCUUCCGACAGCUCCGGCUGAGGGGAACCCGGGCUGCUGCCCUCUCUGGCCUCAGGAAAGCUCCGGCUUGUUCCAGCUCCGGCUGAUGGACGCUCCAGCCCCGCAUGGCUGCAGCUGCAGCUCCAGCCCCGUGUGAUUUCGGCUCCCGAUGCCGCCCGCUCCAGUUUCCAGCUCGCCUUUCGCACGGGCUCAGGGACCCGCCGGCUUGUUGCAGCUCCGGCUCCUCCACGCUCCGGCCGAUGGACGUCCCACCUCGUCCCACCCCUGCCCGCUCCGGCCGAGAGACGCUCCUGCUCCUGACAGCCCCGGGGGCUUUUGUCCAGCUCCGGCCCUGCGUCAUUUUGGGCCCAGCCGAGACACCGGACGUUCCCGUUUCUCAUAGCUCCAGCCCUACCCG